rnacentral:rRNA from 1 species
UACGGGGGGGGGCAAGCGUUGUUCGGAAUUACUGGGCGUAAAGGGCGCGUAGGCGGCUUAUCAAGUCAGGCGUGAAAUUCCCGGGCUCAACCUGGGGGCUGCGCUUGAUACUGAUUGGCUUGAAUGCGGGAGAGGAUAGUGGAAUUCCCAGUGUAGAGGUGAAAUUCGUAGAUAUUGGGAAGAACACCGGUGGCGAAGGCGGCUAUCUGGCCCGUAAUUGACGCUGAGGCGCGAAAGCGUGGGGGAGCAAACAGG